rnacentral:rRNA from 1 species
GAAAAGAACCCCGGGAGGGGAGUGAAAUAGAACCUGAAACCCUGCACUUACAAGCUGUGGAAGCACAUUUCUUGUGUGACCGCGUACUUUUUGUAGAACGGGCCAACGAGUUACGUUAAGUAGCAAGGUUAAGCACUUAAGGUGCGGAGCCGUAGCGAAAGCGAGUUUUAACUGAGCGUUCAGUUACUUGACGUAGACCCGAAACCGGGCGACCUACCCAUGAGCAGGAUGAAGCGAAAGUAAAAUUUCGUGGAGGUCCGAACCCACGAGCGUUGAAAAGCUCGGGGAUGACUUGUGGGUAGCGGUGAAAUUCCAAUCGAGCCCGGAGAUAGCUGGUUCUCCCCGAAAUAGCUUUAGGGCUAGCCUCAAGGUGAGAGAUACGGAGGUAGAGCACUGAAUGUCCUAGGGGGUAUUGCACCUACCGAAGACUAUCAAACUCCGAAUGCCGUCAUCUUAUACUUGGGAGUCAGACUGUGGGUGAUAAGAUUCAUAGUCGAAAGGGCAACAGCCCAGAUCGUCAGCUAAGGUCCCUAAAUGUAAGUUAAGUGGUAAAGGAUGUGGGAUUGCACAGACAACCAGGAUGUUGGCUUAGAAGCAGCCACUCAUUCAAAGAGUGCGUAAUAGCUCACUGGUCGAGUGAUCCUGCGCCGAAGAUUUCCGGGGCUAAAACUUACUACCGAAGCUACGGCAUCAGUAAUGAUGGGUAGGGGAGCUUCCCAUACGGGUUGAAGCAUGACCGUAAGGACAUGUGGACAGUAUGGGAGUGAGAAUGUUGGCAUGAGUAGCGAGAUGUGGGUGAGAAUCCCACAGGCCGUAAACCCAAGGUUUCCAGGGGAAGGUUCGUCCGCCCUGGGUUAGUCGGGACCUAAGCUGAGGCCGAAAGGCGUAGG